rnacentral:rRNA from 1 species
GAUGAACGCUGGCGGCGUGCCUAAUACAUGCAAGUCGAGCGAACAGACGAGGAGCUUGCUCCUCUGACGUUAGCGGCGGACGGGUGAGUAACACGUGGAUAACCUACCUAUAAGACUGGGAAACCUUCGGGAACCGGGACCAAAUCCGGGAAAUUAUUUUAAACCGAUUGGUUCAUUAGUAAAAAACGGUUUUGCUGUCCCUUAUAGAUGGAUCCGCGCCGCAUUAGCUAGUUGGUAAGGUAACGGCUUACCAAGGCAACGAUGCGUAGCCGACCUGAGAGGGUGAUCGGCCACACUGGAACUGAGACACGGUCCAGACUCCUACGGGAGGCAGCUGUAGGGAAUCUUCCGCAAUGGGCGAAAGCCUGACGGAGCAACGCCGCGUGAGUGAUGAAGGUCUUCGGAUCGUAAAACUCUGUUAUUAGGGAAGAACAAAUGUGUAAGUAACUAUGCACGUCUUGACGGUACCUAAUCAGAAAGCCACGGCUAACUACGUG